rnacentral:lncRNA from 1 species
AAAUCCUCUCGCUCUAGGGUUUCUCCUCUCGAUCCAUUAUUCUAGAUGACGAGGUAUUCUUCUGAUUGAGCUCCACGUUUAACCAAACCAUCUUAGAUUUUGUUUUCCUAACUAUUGUUUUCAUGUUUGGAUCACUGGAUUGAAAUUCUCUUGUUCCGUCUUUAGAAUUUCAUCUCUGGUAAUUUUGGUCUUCUCUAUGAAGCGUUUUACGUGAUCGGAUAUUAGCUUCUCGUCUUUAACUUGAUACUUAUGUGCAAGCAUCUGAAAUUCGUUUGAUUUAUCCAUUCGGAUUUUGUUGCAUUACCAUUUCAUUUACUAUCUCACUCUAUAAAAUUGGUUUCAGUUAGAAAAUUUGUAGCUCCAAGCUGAUUGAUUGCAUCAUUAUUUGGUCUUCGAUGGUUUGUGUUGGCUUGUAUAGUCUAUAAGUAAAUUCCGCCAAAGCUUAAAACUUUGUGUUCAAUCAAUCAAUCUCUCUGUGUGUGUUUAUUAUCAUCAGCUAGACUUCGUAUUGCCUGAUAAUUCAUGAUUGAGUGAUAUGCUUUAUUUACUAUUAUGAGUUCUGAUUUUGUAGAAGCAAUAACUAGUGUUUGGGAGAAAACACCACAUAAACUUUCUAUUAAUGUAUUAGAAAAAAGAAAGUUGGAACCUAUGUUUUAUAAUUUUUUUUUCUCUAUAUAUUGAAGUAUGACCGACCUAUAAUUGAAUAUUCUAAUGUGCUUUGAACUGAGGUAAGCGGGGAUUUUUCCUGGAGUCUUUGGUUUGCCUACUUAAAUGUAGAUAAGUGAUUACCAACUUAUACCCACUUUUGCAGGUUUAUAACUGAGACCUGUCAAAUAAGCUAUAGCUUCUUGUAAGGGCUUCAAGGAAAGGAUUUGCAUUGUUGUGCUCUUGUUUGUGUCCACAGAAGGAAAGGAGAGUGAGAAGCUCAGGAUGUCAAGCAGUCGAAAUACCCACUGGUGUCACAGAUGCCAGCGUGCUGUCCAGCUUCACGGCCAAGAUCCUGUAUGCUCUUAUUGCGGAGGUGGAUUUGUUGAAGAACUUGAUAUGGCUGAAGCCAGCCCCUUUGAUAUGUUUAGAGCUCACAGUCACAGGGGUGUUGUAGAACGUGAUCCGACUUUUGAUCUCAUGGAUGCUUUCUCUGCGUUUAUGAGGAAUCGCUUAGCCGAAAGGAGCCACGACAGAGAAAUCAGAGGAAGAACCAUCAGUUCAGGUCCUG